rnacentral:rRNA from 1 species
AGGGUUCGAUUCUGGCUCAGGAUGAACGCUAGCGACAGGCUUAACACAUGCAAGUCGAGGGGCAGCAUAGAAGUAGCAAUACUUGGUGGCGACCGGCGCACGGGUGAGUAACGCGUAUGCAACCUACCUAUCAGAGGGGAAUAACCCGGCGAAAGUCGGACUAAUACCGCAUAAAACAGGGGCACCGCAUGGUGAUAUUUGUUAAAGAAAUUCGCUGAUAGAUGGGCAUGCGUUCCAUUAGGUAGUUGGUGAGGUAACGGCUCACCAAGCCGACGAUGGAUAGGGGAACUGAGAGGUUGGUCCCCCACACUGGUACUGAGACACGGACCAGACUCCUACGGGAGGCAGCAGUGAGGAAUAUUGGUCAAUGGGCGAGAGCCUGAACCAGCCAAGUCGCGUGAAGGAAGAAGGAUCUAUGGUUCGUAAACUUCUUUUGCAGGGGAAUAAAGUGCAGGACGUGUCCUGUUUUGUAUGUACCCUGAGAAUAAGGAUCGGCUAACUCCGUGCCAGCAGCCGC